UGGCACACUUACAACCUCGUGCAGGUG
rnacentral:piRNA from 1 species